GACGAAGGAUGCAAGCGUUAUCCGGAUUCAUUGGGUUUAAAGGGAGCGUAGGCGGACUUAUAAGUCAGUGGUGAAAUCUUCGAGCUUAACUCGGAAACUGCCAUUGAUACUGUAGGUCUAGAGUACAGUUGCCGUUGGCGGAAUAUGACAUGUAGUGGUGAAAUACUUAGAUAUGUCAUAGAACACCGAUUGCGAAGGCAGCUAACGAAGCUGUAACUGACGCUGAGGCUCGAAAAGUGCGGGGGAUCAAACAGG
rnacentral:rRNA from 1 species